AGGGGGAGUAACAACGGGAAACCGUUGCUAAUACCGCGUACGAUUCAUAGACGGCAUCGUUUGUGAAUGAAAGGUGGCCUCUAUUUAUAAGCUAUCGCUGAAGGAGGGGAUUGCGUCUGAUUAGCUAGUUGGAGGGGUAACGGGCCCACCAAGGCAAUGAUCAGUAGCCAGUCUGAGAGGAUGAACGGCCACAUUGGGACUGAGACACGGCCCAAACUCCUACGGGAGGCAGCAGCG
rnacentral:rRNA from 1 species